GUACUCGCUCGCCCCGCUUAACAUUUUGUAAACCCGCUUAUAAUUAAGAAAUAAACUGGAAUCCUAGAAAAAAGAAAUACAGUCCACUUAAUUCGCCAACAGGCUCCAAAAAGGCUUAAAAUGUAAUGAAGGUCUUUAAAUAAAAAUAUCACUUAAAUUGAAAUAUACUAAUUUUUCCAAAAAAUAUACCAGAAACUGUGCGCCGUUCUAUGCGAUUCUCAAAAGUUGUACAUAAGCAGUGCCCACUUUCAGUAUUAAAAAAAGUGGAAAAAAUUUUAGUGACCAUUUGCUGAAGGACUGAGUGGUACCCCCAAAAACCGAACAACCCACCGCUUAUUAUUAUUCCAAGUUAGAACUUGGAGUAGUUCAUGGGUUCCUAAGUGCAUUCGCUGAAGUGCAGUUCCUGGAUGCAACUGCUCCUACUGGAGCAACAGCCCUAGCGUCCAGGAGUUGCUUUUUGGACCUUACAAGAAGGGGAAAGUAAACAGAGCAACAAGACAAGGAGGCCGAAGGCGGAGAACUGAUUUACAGCAAGGCUACCUUAUUGAAAGUCUCCCCUUUAUUCGCAUUCUUGAAUCUUCAUGAAUUCGAAGAUUGAAGCUUUCAAAACCCAAUAACCUGGAUUAAUUCUUCGGCUUAGAAGUACAUUCGUUGAUUUUAGCAACUGAAUCCAGGAGCUGGAUUUCAGGAUAUGCGCUUUGAAGAACAAUAUCUUCUGAUAACAUGGAUUUACUUCUUACGGAUCCUUUCAAAAAGGGAAAAUGAAUCUUAAGGAAGGACACUGUGAUGUUUAUAGAAGCCAAUUCUGAGUCUCCGGAUCUAUGCUUUGUCAUCGUAAGGAGCUCGUCUAUCUCAUCGCUUAACACCGUUGUGAUGGUCUCAUCCAUGAACUUUCCUAAGACGGAUCUAAGAGAAGCUAUUCCCGGAAUUGCCCUAGUAACGAUCGGAUUUAUGAAUUUCCAUCAAAUCGAGUAUUGGAUUGGAUUGUAUGCUGAGAUACGAACGAAUGAAACCAAGUAAUUUAUAGACUUCCGUGCUCAUGGAUGGUGAAAAUUAUGUACUUGAUUAUACCAUCGGUUGGAGGAGGAGUGGAGGAUGUGUGCUUUACCACAUUUCAGCGAUGAUUUUUCUUUACAAAGGAUGUGCGUUCAAUUUACUGUAAAAGGAUCAACUGAUCUUGCUGGAGCAACAGCCUUAGCGUCCAGGAGUUGCCUUUUGGACCUUACAAGAAGGGAAAGUGUAUGCAUUCAACGAAUGAUUACUGACAGUUUCCCUGAACUUGUUCUUUUUUUUUUUAAAGAAAAGUGUAACAAGGGGUUGAGGUUGAGAACUGAUAUACUGCACGUCUACCUUAUUGAAAGACUGCCCCACCAACGACUUCAUUGUAUCGAAUAUUGGAGAGGGUGGUAGGCUGAGGCGCAAAUAAAUAAGAGGAUCAUCCAAUUAGUCUGAAGGAGAAGAAUUUGAAUAGUUGCUGCAAGCAAAUGAUCUAUCUGGAGUACAUUGGACACUGAUGGCAGUGGACAGGGAAAGAUCUAUCACUUCCACUGUCACAAUGGCUACUAAUGCGAUCCAAAUCAUUGUCUUGGAAAAGUUAUCUAAGCAGGGAGACGGAAAAGUUGGCUAUUGUUCUUCUGUGGGGACUGCCAAAAGUUGGAUCCUUCGGAGGAAGUGCUACUGAUGCUGGUUUCCAGGGAUUAAUCGGAAGCCAAAGUUUAGGCAUUGCUUCCAAUUUCUAUGGUCUGGAUUAUUGGAAUUACAUCAAAUCGAAGAUUAGUCUGAAGGAGUAAAUGCAUUCACAGCUGCAUCCAGGGAUUACAUCGGCGGGUGCACACCCAAACCCUGGCUCUGUUUUAAGUUAGAACUUUAACUUACAUAUGUAGUCUUGGAUGCACCUGCUCCAUCGCCCAGGACUUCUGCUUCAGUGUGUGCCUUUUCAAGGCCAAUACCUUCUGUUAACUGAACUUAACCAUGGACUUUCCUCUCUCGGACUGGACAAAGAGGGGACGAACUCACGAACUUCUUCAAUAAGAAAAACUUGGCUAACUUUACUCUGAAUUUCUAAUAAAUAUGGACUCGUAAUUAUGUUUUUCAAAUUAAAAGUGUAUUGAACAAACUGCA